rnacentral:rRNA from 1 species
GAUGAACGCUGGCGGCGUGCCUAAUACAUGCAAGUCGAGCGAACAGACGAGGAGCUUGCUCCUUUGACGUUAGCGGCGGACGGGUGAGUAACACGUGGGUAACCUACCUAUAAUACUGGGAUAACUUCGGGAAACCGGAGCUAAUACCGGAUAAUAUUUCGAACCGCAUGGUUCGAUAGUGAAAGAUGGCUCUGCUAUCACUUAUAGAUGGACCUGCGCCGUAUUAGCUAGUUGGUAAGGUAACGGCUUACCAAGGCAACGAUACGUAGCCGACCUGAGAGGGUGAUCGGCCACACUGGAACUGAGACACGGUCCAGACUCCUACGGGAGGCAGCAGUAGGGAAUAUUCCGCAAUGGGCGAAAGCCUGACGGAGCAACGCCGCGUGAGUGAUGAAGGUCUUCGGAUCGUAAAACUCUGUUAUUAGGGAAGAACAAAAGUGUAAGUAACUGUGCACGUCUUGACGGUACCUAAUCAGAAAGCCACGGCUAACUACGUG